rnacentral:lncRNA from 1 species
CUGGUAUACGUAUUUUUUGUCAAUAGAAAGGGUAGUGAUUAACAAGUAUGUUCCUCUCCCUUGAAAGUUUCAUCUGUCUUUCCAGCAGGAGGAGUCCUGUGAUUACAGUGCAGCAAGGCCCAUGCAAGACCAUAGGAGAACUGGCUGGAGAGGAAAUAAGGGAGCAGUAAUGCAAAUGGUGCUGCUGGACUGACUACAGUUGUGCUGGAGAGCUGUUCUGAAUGAGCGUAGACAAUCAAAUGCUUCAUCAAAGCUGAAGUCCAGCUCCUAGGUGGAGGUCACAGUCAUCUUUGGAAGGUGUAACUCUCAGAUUUCCAAGUCUGGACCACGUGGGCUAAACUCGAAGAAAUUCAGAAAGUCUGAGAAGAGUCUUCAGCCUCUGAAGCUGUUCUAUGUGUAUGUGCCACCACGUGCUCAGUUUUCAAUGGAUGCAAUGGAUGUAAGUCAUGACUCAUCUGAC